UUUUUCUCUAGAGAGUUUGAUGAUGGAGAUAUAGAUGAGGAGAUCGAUCCUGCAUUACAGGAAAAACUUGACAGGGAAGUGGAAGAUUUCGCCCGCAUAUUAAAUUCUGACUGGCCAGAGAGGAUGCAGGAACUGUUGUCAUUGGGGCAAGAAAGAAAAGCAAUGCCUUUUACAUCCAAUGGAAACAGUUUUUUAAGACGAAAUGCUUAGGACUUGACCUCAUGAUACUGUCACACAAACAAGAAGGAAUCAGCGGAAAAUGGAUCCUUACAAGCCCCCACACAAAUGGCCUGUGGCUUGAACAAUUUUGAGAGGUGCUGACAAGCCUUAGGAAAGUGCUACAUGUCAGUUAUUUAUUUGUUUUUCUAAUUCACUGUUCAAUUUUAUUCAUUAUUGGUCCUUGGCCCCAGGCACAAUUUGAUGCUGGAGGCUGCCUCUUGUGCCAAUAGAAAAUAAAUAGUAGGAUGGGCUUGUAUGUAAUAAUGUUGUAUCUUUGUGCAUUGAUUGCUUGAGUUUUGAAAGAAGUUUCUUACUCU